GAUCUGAGCCCUCCUCCCUCCUCCACGUUUUUCAACUCUGCUCCUCCUCCUCCUACUACUUCUCCUUUGGGUCUGGAUCUACGGGAUGUGGUGGUGGUUAAGGUUUCGAUGAGCUUUUGGGUUUCAGCGCUCGCGCAUGUUGUAAUGGUGUUCUCUGCUUGUUGCAGUACGUUUUCAAGUGAUGUUGCAGUAGGGUAGGAUUUUGACGAGCUCUCAGGUUCAGGUCUCGUCUUCAUUGCAAUGGUUCUCUCUAGACGUUGCAGUAGGUUUCAGUCGUUUGUUGCAAUACUCUGUUUCAAGAUGUUGUUUCACUUGCUUUAAUCUGCAUGUUCUAGUAGUUUCUUUCAUGUUGUUGCAGCAGUUGUUCGAUGUUGUUGUAGUACUAUGUCCAUGGUGUUUCAGUUGCUCCAUUUAAUGUUUUAAUCUUCACUGUUGUAUUAGUUGUUGCAUGUUGUUGCAACAGCUGUUCGGUGUUUGUUGUACUACUAUAUCCAUGGUGUUUCGGUUUCUCCACCCAAUGCUUCAAUCUAGCUGUUGCAUUAGCUGUUACAUGUUGUUGCAGCAGUCGUUCGUUGUUGUUGUAAUACUAGGUU
rnacentral:lncRNA from 1 species